UACCUCAAGUCAAGUAAGAAUACCCGCUGAACUUAAGCAUAUCAAUAAGCGGAGGAAAAGAAACUAACUAGGAUUCCCUUAGUAACGGCGAGUGAACUGGGAAAAGCUCAAAUUUUAAAUCACCUCGGUGAAUUGUAAUUUGAAGAAAGUGUUUUGACUUUUCAGUUUAAUCUAAAUCCUUUGGGAUGAGGUAUCAUAGAGGGUGAGAAUCCCGUUCUUGAUUAAACCUCGGAUUGCACUAAAUUCACUUUCCAAGAGUCGAGUUGUUUGGGAUUGCAGCUCCAAAUGGGUGGUAAAUUUCACCUAAGGCUAAAUAUAUGCAAGAGACCGAUAGCGAACAAGUACCGUGAGGGAAAGAUGAAAAGUACUUUGAAAAGAGAGUUAAACAGUACGUGAAAUUGUUGAAAGGGAAACGAUUGAAGUCAGUCAUGCUAGUGAGGAAUCAACUUGGUGGUUUACUUCCUUGUGCAUUUUCUCGCUUGGCAGGUUAGCAUCAAUUUUGGUUGUCAUCAAAGAAUUGGGGGAAUGUGACUUUUCUUCGGUAAAGUGUUAUAGACCCUGAUUGAUGUGGCGACUGGGAUUGAGGUUUGCAGCGGAUGCCUCUUGUGGCUAGUCACCUGUCUUCUGACCGUCACCUCGUUUUUAACAGCUUGCUGAUGAUUGCGGGAUUUGGCGAUCUAGGAGUUAGAGUGAACAUAAAUUCGCUAAGGAUGCUGACGUAAUGGCUUUAAACGACCCGUCUUGAAACACGGACCAAGGAGUCUAACAUAUGUGCGAGUGUU
rnacentral:rRNA from 1 species